rnacentral:rRNA from 1 species
UGCGCAGGCGGACUUGUGCGUCAGAGGUUAAAUCCCACAGCUUAACUGUGGAACUGCCUUUGAUACGGCAAGCCUUGAAUGCGAGCGAGGAAGGUAGAAUUCCUGGUGUAGCGGUGAAAUGCGUAGAUAUCAGGAGGAAUACCAGUGGCGAAGGCGGCCUUCUGGCUCGUUAUUGACGCUCAGGCACGAAAGCGUGGGGAGCAAACAGGAUUAGAUACCCUGGUAGUCCACGCCUUAAACGAUGUAUGCUUGGUGUUGGGAGUUUUCUCAGUGCCGUAGGUAACCCGUUAAGCAUACCACCUGGGGAGUACGAUCGCAAGGUUGAA